GUUAGGAAUAUUGGACAAUGGGCGCAAGCCUGAUCCAGCCAUGCCGCGUGAGUGAUGAAGGCCUUCGGGUUGUAAAGCUCUUUAGUCCACGAAUAUAAUGACUGUAGUGGAAGAAUAAGCCCCGGCUAACUUCGUGCCAGCAGCCGCGGUAAUACGAAGGGGGCGAGCGUUAUUCGGAAUCACUGGGCGUAAAGCGUGCGUAGGCUGUUUUGUAAGUCAGAAGUGAAAGCCCAGGGCUUAACCCUGGAAUUGCUUUUGAAACUACAAGACUCGAAUUCGGGAGAGGAUAGCGGAAUUGUCAGUGUAGCAGUGAAAUGCGUAGAUAUUGACAGGAACACCAGUGGCGCAAGCGGCUAUCUGGACGAGUAUUGACGCUGAGGCACGAAAGCGUGGGGAUCAAACAGGAUUAGAAACCCUAGUAGUCC
rnacentral:rRNA from 1 species